AGGAAAACAAUCACCACAGAGUUGGAUGGCUGUAACAUUGUCCAGGUCUGAGAGCUCUUCAUUUCUUCUUCCAUUGAUCGUUGGACUGGUUUGUGGAAUUUCACUGAUUAUUCUUCUGCUGCUGUUGUGUCUCUACAAACAGUCAAAGGAUUCCUGCUUUAUCAGGUCUCAGAGCACAAAUCAGAGCUCUGCUACAGAUCACAUGAUCAACCAGGAUGAAGGUCAACAAG